AUUGAACGCUGGCGGCAGGCCUAACACAUGCAAGUCGAGCGGAUGAAGGGAGCUUGCUCCUGGAUUCAGCGGCGGACGGGUGAGUAAUGCCUAGGAAUCUGCCUGGUAGUGGGGGAUAACGUCCGGAAACGGGCGCUAAUACCGCAUACGUCCUGAGGGAGAAAGUGGGGGAUCUUCGGACCUCACGCUAUCAGAUGAGCCUAGGUCGGAUUAGCUAGUUGGUGGGGUAAAGGCCUACCAAGGCGACGAUCCGUAACUGGUCUGAGAGGAUGAUCAGUCACACUGGAACUGGGACACGGUCCAGGGUCCUGAGGGAGGCAGCAGUGGGGAAUGUUGGACAGUAGGCGAAAGCCUGGUCCAGCCAUGCCACGUGUGUGAAGAAGGUCUUCGGAUUGUAAAGCACUUUAAGUUGGGAGGAAGGGCAGUAAGUUAAUACCUUGCUGUUUUGACGUUACCAACAGAAUAAGCACCGGCUAACUACGUG
rnacentral:rRNA from 1 species